UACCAGCACCCCGAGUGGUCGGGACGUUUAUUGGGCCUAAAGCAUCCGUAGCCGGUUCUACAAGUCUUCCGUUAAAUCCACCUGCUUAACAGAUGGGCUGCGGAAGAUACUAUAGAGCUUAGGAGGCGGGAGAGGCAAGCGGUACUCGAUGGGUAGGGGUAAAAUCCGUUGAUCCAUUGAAGACCACCAGUGGCGAAGGCGGCUUGCCAGAACGCG
rnacentral:rRNA from 1 species